UAGUCAUAUGCUUGUCUCAAAGAUUAAGCCAUGCAUGUCUAAGUAUAAGCAAUCUAUACAGUGAAACUGCGAAUGGCUCAUUAAAUCAGUUAUCGUUUAUUUGAUAGUACCUUACUACUUGGAUAACCGUGGUAAUUCUAGAGCUAACACAUGCUAAAAACCCCGACUUCGGAAGGGGUGUAUUUAUUAAAUAAAAAACCAAUGCUCUUCGGGGCUCCUUGGUGAUUCAUAAUAACUUAACAAAUCGCAUGGCCUUGUGCCGGCAAUGGUUCAUUCAAAUUUCUGCCCUAUCAACUUUCGAUGGUAGGAUAGUGGCCUACCAUGGUUUCAACGGGUAACGGGGAAUUAGGGUUCUAUUCCGGAGAGGGAGCCUGAAAAACGGCUACCACAUCCAAGGAAGGCAGCAGGCGCGCAAAUUACCCAAUCCCGACACGGGGAGGUAGUGACAAUAAAUACUGAUACAGGGCUCUUUUGAGUCUUGUAAUUGGAAUGAGUACAAUUUAAAUCCCUUAACGAGGAACAAUU
rnacentral:rRNA from 1 species